rnacentral:misc_RNA from 1 species
AGACGAGAUAAUAUUAGCAUAGAAUUUAAUAUUUGCAUGCACAACAACAUCACAUUCUAUAUAGUCCUCGCAUCUUCAUAUGUUCAGCAACUAUUUUACAUCAUAAUUAAUUAGUUAUGCACAGUCACAAAGCUCGUAGCAAAAGUUCAGACAUUCAAAGCAAGCGAGGGCUACGCAGAGUUGUGAGAGAAUGAUAGAACACUGUUCAUUCAUGUAUGAACAAGUCUGGAUGAAGCACGUGCAACAGCACCGGUCAAGAAGCCUGCUGCAACAAUUGGAAGCAGCCUUA